rnacentral:rRNA from 1 species
AUUGAACGCUGGCGGCAGGCCUAACACAUGCAAGUCGAACGGUAACAGGAAGAAGCUUGCUUAUUUGCUGACGAGUGGCGGACGGGUGAGUAAUGUCUGGGAAACUGCCUGAUGGAGGGGGAUAACUACUGGAAACGGUAGCUAAUACCGCAUAACGUCGCAAGACCAAAGAGGGGGACCUUCGGGCCUCUUGCCAUCGGAUGUGCCCAGAUGGGAUUAGCUAGUAGGUGGGGUAACGGCUCACCUAGGCGACGAUCCCUAGCUGGUCUGAGAGGAUGACCAGCCACACUGGAAGUGAGACACGGUCCAGACUCCUACGGGAGGCAGCAGUGGGGAAUAUUGCACAAUGGGCGGAAGCCUGAUGCAGCCAUGCCGCGUGUAUGAAGAAGGCCUUCGGGUUGUAAAGUACUUUCAGCGGGGAGGAAGGGAGUAAAGUUAAUACCUGUGCUCAUUGACGUUACCCGCAGAAGAAGCACCGGCUAACUCCGUG